UACAGAGGUCUCAAGCGUUGUUCGGAUUCAUUGGGCGUAAAGGGCGCGUAGGCGGCGGGGUCAGUCGGGUGUGAAAUCUUGGGGCUUAACCCCGAAACGGCACUCGAAACUGCCCGGCUGGAGGGCCGGAGAGGAGAUCGGAAUUCACGGUGUAGCAGUGAAAUGCGUAGAUAUCGGGAAGAACACCCGUGGCGAAGGCGGUUCUCUGGGACGGUACUGACGCUGAGACGCGAAAGCGUGGGGAGCGAACAGG
rnacentral:rRNA from 1 species